UACGGAGGGUGCAAGCGUUAAUCGGAAUUACUGGGCGUAAAGCGCACGCAGGUGGCUGAGUCAGUCGAUUGUGAAAGCCCUGGGCUUAACCUAGGAAUUGCAGUCGAUACUACUCAGCUAGAGUAUGGGAGAGGGCAGUGGAAUUCCCGGUGUAGCGGUGAAAUGCGUAGAUAUCGGGAGGAACAUCAGUGGCGAAGGCGGCUGCCUGGCCCAAUACUGACACUCAGGUGCGACAGCGUGGGGAGCGAACAGG
rnacentral:rRNA from 1 species